CCUACGGGAGGCAGCAGUGGGGAAUUUUGCGCAAUGGGGGAAACCCUGACGCAGCAACGCCGCGUGGAGGAUGAAGUAUCUUGGUACGUAAACUCCUUUCGAUGGGGAAGAUAAUGACGGUACCCAUAGAAGAAGCCCCGGCUAACUUCGUGCCAGCAGCCGCGGUAAUACGAGGGGGGCAAGCGUUGUUCGGAAUUAUUGGGCGUAAAGGGUGCGUAGGCGGUUCAGCAAGUCUCGUGUGAAAUCUUCGGGCUCAACCCGAAGUCUGCACGGGAAACUACUGGGCUUGAGUAAUGGAGAGGUGAGUGGAAUUUCCGGUGUAGCGGUGAAAUGCGUAGAUAUCGGAAGGAACACCUGUGGCGAAAGCGGCUCACUGGACAUUUACUGACGCUGAUGCACGAAAGCUAGGGGAGCAAACAGGAUUAGAUACCCUGGUAGUCCUAGCCCUAAACGAUGAUUGCUUGGUGUGGCAGGUACCCAAUCCUGCCGUGCCGAAGCUAACGCGAUAAGCAAUCCGCCUGGGGAGUACGGUCGCGAAGGCUGAAACUCAAAUGAAUUGAACGG
rnacentral:rRNA from 1 species